GAUGAACGCCGGCGGCGUGCCUAAUACAUGCAAGUCGAGCGAACGGACGAGAAGCUUGCUUCUCUGAUGUUAGCGGCGGACGGGUGAGUAACGCGUGGAUAACCUACCUAUAAGACUGGGAUAACUUCGGGAAACCGGAGCUAAUACCGGAUAAUAUUUUGAACCGCAUGGUUUUAAAGUGCAAGUCGGUCUUGCUGUCCCUUAUAGCUGGAUCCGCGCUGCAUUCGCUAUUUGGUAAGGUAACGGCUUACCAAGGCAACGAUGCAUAGCCAACCUGAGCGGGUGAUCGUCCACACUGGAACUGAGACACGGUCCAGACUCCUACGGAAGGCAGCAGUAGGGAAUCUUCCGCAGUAGGCGAAAGCCUGAAGGAGCAGCGCCGCAUAAGUGAGGAAGGUCUUCGGAGCGUAAAACUCUGUUAUUAGAGAAGAACAUAUGUGUAAGUAACUGUGCACAUCUUGGCGGUACCUAAUCAGAAAGCCACGGCUAACUACGUG
rnacentral:rRNA from 1 species